UUUUUCCUACGGGACGCAGCAGUGAGGAAUAUUGGUCAAUGGUCGGGAGACUGAACCAGCCAAGCCGCGUGAGGGAUGAAGGUACAGAGUAUCGUAAACCUCUUUUGUCAGGGAGCAAUUGAGUCCACGUGUGGGCUUAGCGAGAGUACCUGAAGAAAAAGCAUCGGCUAACUCCGUGCCAGCAGCCGCGGUAAUACGGAGGAUGCGAGCGUUAUCCGGAUUUAUUGGGUUUAAAGGGUGCGUAGGCGGAAUAUCGAGUCAGCGGUAAAAAUUCGGGGCUCAACCCCGUCGUGCCGUUGAAACUG
rnacentral:rRNA from 1 species